UACAGAGGGUGCAAGCGUUAAUCGGAAUUACUGGGCGUAAAGCGUGCGUAGUCGGUUAUUUAAGUCGGGUGUGAAAGCCCCGGGCUCAACCUGGGAAUUGCAUUCGAUACUGGAUAGCUAGAGUUCGGCAGAGGGAAGCGGAAUUUCCGGUGUGAGCGGUGAAAUGCGUAGAUAUCGGAAGGAACAUCAGUGGCGAAGGCGGCUACCUGGCCCAAUACUGACACUCAGGUGCGACAGCGUGGGGAGCAAACAGG
rnacentral:rRNA from 1 species